rnacentral:rRNA from 1 species
GACGAACGCUGGCGGCGUGCUUAACACAUGCAAGUCGAACGCUGAAGCUUGGUGCUUGCACUGGGUGGAUGAGUGGCGAACGGGUGAGUAAUACGUGAGUAACCUGCCCUUGACUCUGGGAUAAGCCUGGGAAACUGGGUCUAAUACUGGAUAUGACAUGCCACUGCAUGGUGCUGUGUGGAAAGGGUUUUCCUGGUUUUGGAUGGGCUCACGGCCUAUCAGCUUGUUGGUGGGGUAAUGGCCCACCAAGGCGACGACGGGUAGCCCGCCUGAGAGGGUGACCACCCACCAUAGGCCUAAGGCACGGAGCAGUAUCCUACGGUAGGCAACAGUGGGGAGUAUUGCACAAUGAGCGGAAGCCUGAUGCAGAGGCGCCGCGUUAGUGAUGACGGCCUUCUGGUUGAGAACCUCUUUCAGCACAGAAGAAGCGGGAGUGACGGUACGUGAAGAAGAAGCGCCGGCUAACUACGUG